UGAGUAACAACAGUCAGGAAGAUAAUACCAAACUGUUAGUUAGGUUUACUGAGUAACAACAGUCAUUAAGAUAAUACCAAACUGUCAGUUAGGUUUACUGAGUAACAACAGUCAGGAAGACAAUACCAAACUGUCAGUUAGGUUUACUGAGUAACAACAGUCAUUAAGAUAAUACCAAACUGUUAGUUAGGUUUACUGAGUAACAACAGUCAUGAAGAUAAUACCAAACUGUCAGUUAGGUUUACUGAGUAACAACAGUCAGGAAGAUAAUACCAAACUGUCAGUUAGGUUUACUGAGUAACACCAGUCAGGAAGAUAAUACCAAAC
ensembl:lncRNA